UACGUAGGGGGCAAGCGUUGUCCGGAAUCAUUGGGCGUAAAGCGCGCGUAGGCGGCCCUGUAAGUCCGUUGUGAAAGUCAAAGGCUCAACCUUUGAAAGCCGAUGGAUACUGCAGGGCUAGAGUCCGGAAGAGGCGAGUGGAAUUCCUGGUGUAGCGGUGGAAUGCGCAGAUAUCAGGAGGAACGCCGGCGGCGAAAGCGACUCUCUGGCCUGUAACUGACGCUGAGGCGCGAAAGCUAGGGGAGCAAACGGG
rnacentral:rRNA from 1 species